rnacentral:rRNA from 1 species
CAGCCAGACUCCUACGGGAGGCAGCAGUGGGGAAUAUUGCACAAUGGGGGGAACCCUGAUGCAGCGACGCCUCGUGAGUGAAGAAGUAUUUCGGUAUUUAAAGCUCUUUCAUCAGGGAAGAAGAAAGACGGUACCUUACCAAGAAGCCCCUUCUAACUACGUGCCAUCAUCCGCGGUAAUACUUAGGGGGCAAUCGUUAUCCGGAUUUACUGGGUGUAAAGGGAGCGUAGACGGCAGUGCAAGUCUGGAGUGAAAGGCGGGGGAUCAACCGCCGGACUGCUCUGGAAACUGUACGGCUGGAGUGCAGGAGAGGUAAGUGGAAUUCCUAGUGUAGCGGUGAAAUGCGUAGAGAUUAGGAGGAACACCAGUGGCGAAGGCGGCUUACUGGACUGUAACUGACGUUGAGGCUCGAAAGCGUGGGGAGCAAACAGGAUUAGAUACCCUCGUA